rnacentral:rRNA from 1 species
UACGUAGGUGGCAAGCGUUGUCCGGAUUUACUGGGCGUAAAGAGCGUGCAGGCGGUCUGUUAAGUCUAGGGUGAAAGCUCCCGGCUCAACUGGGAGAGGUCCUUGGAUACUGGCGGACUUGAGGGAGGCAGAGGAAAGUGGAAUUCCCGGUGUAGUGGUGAUAUGCGUAGAUAUCGGGAGGAACACCUGUGGCGAAGGCGGCCAUCUGGACCAGCACUGACACUGAGGCACGAAAGCGUGGGGAGCAAACAGG